rnacentral:rRNA from 1 species
UGACGGUACUAUACGAAUAAGGAUCGGCUAACUCCGUGCCAGCAGCCGCGGUAAUACGGAGGAUUCGAGCGUUAUCCGGAAUCAUUGGGUUUAAAGGGUCCGUAGGCAGCCUUAUAAGUCAGUGGUGAAAGUUUGCAGCUUAACUGUAAAAUUGCCAUUGAUACUGUAAGGCUUGAAUGCUUGUGAAGUAACUAGAAUAUGUAGUGUAGCGGUGAAAUGCAUAGAUAUUACAUGGAAUACCAAUUGCGAAGGCAGGUUACUAACAAGUGAUUGACGCUGAUGGACGAAAGCGUGGGUAGCGAACUAGGAUUAGAUACCCUGGUAGUCCACGCCGUAAACGAUGGGUACUAGCUGUUCGGUCGUAAGAUUGAGUGGCUAAGCGAAAGUGAUAAGUAUCCCACCUGGGGAGUACGCACGCAAGUGUGAAACUCAAAGGAAUUGACGGGGGCCCGCACAAGCGGUGGAGCAUGUGGUUUAAUUCGAUGAUACGCGAGGAACCUUACCAGGGCUUAAAUGUAGUUUGACAGAUUUGGAAACAGAUUUUUCUUCGGACAAAUUACAAGGUGCUGCAUGGUUGUCGUCAGCUCGUGCCGUGAGGUGUCAGGUUAAGUCCUAUAACGAGCGCAACCCCUGUCGUUAGUUGCCAGCGAGUCAUGUCGGGAACUCUAACGAGACUGCCGGUGUAAACCGAGAGGAAGGUGGGGAUGACGUCAAAUCAUCACGGCCCUUACGUCCUGGGCCACACACGUGCUACAAUGGCCGGUACAGAGAGCAGCCACUGCGCGAGUAGGAGCGAAUCUAUAAAGCCGGUCACAGUUCGGAUCGGAGUCUGCAACUCGACUCCGUGAAGCUGGAAUCGCUAGUAAUUGGAUAUCAGCCAUGAUCCGGUGAAUACGUUCCCGGGCCUUGCACUCACCGCCCGUCAAG